rnacentral:pre_miRNA from 1 species
GGGGGGAGCGCAGGAUCCUGGGCUGUGUCCCCCAGUGCCCUGGGCUCUGAGGUCUGCACCACUGGAAUCUGGCUCCCAGGGCCACGCAGCCCCCU